UAUCCUAGAUUGCUUUCAAGGUCAUUUCUUUAGGGAACCCCAUUCCCAUAAAUUUAGUAUCCAAAGAUGGUUGCUAUAUAUAUGGGAAUAAGGUUCCCUAACGAAAUGAUCUUGGACGCAAUCUAGGAGU
rnacentral:pre_miRNA from 1 species